UUAAAUUGAAGAGUUUGAUCAUGGCUCAGAUUGAACGCUGGCGGCAGGCCUAACACAUGCAAGUCGAACGGUAACAGGAAGCAGCUUGCUGCUUCGCUGACGAGUGGCGGACGGGUGAGUAAUGUCUGGGAAACUGCCUGAUGGAGGGGGAUAACUACUGGAAACGGUAGCUAAUACCGCAUAACGUCGCAAGACCAAAGAGGGGGACCUUCGGGCCUCUUGCCAUCGGAUGUGCCCAGAUGGGAUUAGCUUGUUGGUGGGGUAACGGCUCACCAAGGCGACGAUCCCUAGCUGGUCUGAGAGGAUGACCAGCCACACUGGAACUGAGACACGGUCCAGACUCCUACGGGAGGCAGCAGUGGGGAAUAUUGCACAAUGGGCGCAAGCCUGAUGCAGCCAUGCCGCGUGUAUGAAGAAGGCCUUCGGGUUGUAAAGUACUUUCAGCGGGGAGG
rnacentral:rRNA from 1 species